CUUCAGUGAUGAUACGAUGACGAGUCGGAAGGGAACACGGCCUGCCUCUGAGGUCACUGGGUCAGGGUCACGUUCUGUGGCUCUGGCUGCAGUUCCUUGGAGGAGUGUGUCCUCUUCAGUUGAAGACAUCGAGGCAUUUGUCUGAGAAGC